CGGUGACAAACCGGAGGAAGGCGGGGAUGACGUCAAAUCAUCAUGCCCCUUAUGACCUGGGCUACACACGUACUACAAUGGCCGGUACAAAGGGCAGCGAAGCCGCGAGGUGGAGCCAAUCCCAGCAAAGCCGGUCUCAGUUCGGAUUGCAGGCUGCAACUCGCCUGCAUGAAGUCGGAAUUGCUAGUAAUCGCGGAUCAGCAUGCCGCGGUGAAUACGUUCCCGGGUCUUGUACACACCGCCCGUCACACCACGAGAGUUUACAACACCCGAAGUCGGUGGGGUAACCCGCAAGGGAGCCAGCCGCCGAAGGUGGGGUAGAUGAUUGGGGUGAAGUCGUAACAAGGUAGCCGUAUCGGAAGGUGCGGCUGGAUCACCUCCUUUCU
rnacentral:rRNA from 1 species